CCUACGGGGGGCAGCAGUGAGGAAUAUUGGUCAAUGGACGAGAGUCUGAACCAGCCAAGUAGCGUGAAGGAUGAAUGCCCUAUGGGUUGUAAACUUCUUUUAUAUGGGAAUAAAAUGUUCCAUGUGUGGGAUUUUGUAUGUACCAUAUGAAUAAGGAUCGGCUAACUCCGUGCCAGCAGCCGCGGUAAUACGGAGGAUCCGAGCGUUAUCCGGAUUUAUUGGGUUUAAAGGGAGCGUAGGUGGAUUGUCAAGUCAGUUGUGAAAGUUUGCGGCUCAACCGUAAAAUUGUAGUUGAAACUGGCAGUCUUGAGUACAGUAGAGGUGGGCGGAAUUCGUGGUGUAGCGGUGAAAUGCUUAGAUAUCACGAAGAACACCGAUUGCGAAGGCAGUUCACUGGACUGCAACUGACACUGAGGCUCGAAAGUGUGGGUAUCAAACAGGAUUAGAUACCCGAGUAGUC
rnacentral:rRNA from 1 species